AACGGAAAGGCCGUGCUUGCACUGGUACUCGAGUGGCGAACGGGUGAGUAACACGUGGGUGAUCUGCCCUGCACUUCGGGAUAAGCCUGGGAAACUGGGUCUAAUACCGGAUGGGACCACAUUUUGGAUGGUGUGGUGGAAAGUUUUUCGGUGUGGGAUGAGCUCGCGGCCUAUCAGCUUGUUGGUGGGGUAAUGGCCUACCAAGGCGUCGACGGGUAGCCGGCCUGAGAGGGUGUACGGCCACAUUGGGACUGAGAUACGGCCCAGACCCCUACGGGAGGCAGCAGUGGGGAAUAUUGCACAAUGGGCGCAAGCCUGAUGCAGCGACGCCGCGUGGGGGAUGAAGGCCUUCGGGUUGUAAACUCCUUUCGCUAGGGACGAAGCUUUUUUGUGACGGUACCUAGAUAAGAAGCACCGGCUAACUACGUGCCAGCAGCCGCGGUAAUACGUAGGGUGCGAGCGUUGUCCGGAAUUACUGGGCGUAAAGGGCUCGUAGGUGGUUUGUCGCGUCGUCUGUGAAAUUCUGGGGCUUAACUCCGGGCGUGCAGGCGAUACGGGCAUAACUUGAGUGCUGUAGGGGUAACUGGAAUUCCUGGUGU
rnacentral:rRNA from 1 species